UACGAACUGCGUCCACGACCAGAACAGAAGGCGACGUGUCAAUGGUAGUAGUGGCUACUGGGUGCCCAAGGCUAGAGAAUUAAGUGUCCUGGACGGGAGGCAGGUCGUCGGUUUCAAGCGAACAUUUCAGUUCUGUCUACCGAACAAUACUGUAACGCCUUGGGAGAUGACAGAGUACACGAUUCAAUCCAGCAAGAGCGUCGAGAACCAGAAGGCGAUCUUAGCAAUUCGCAACUCGGGGCCGUAGACUGCUUUGGUCUUUCCUUUGUGUUCAACCAGCUAUCUUUCUAAUAAAAGUUUGGGGCUCUAAUCAGAUGCUGGAGGUUUCUAUUGAAGAUUGUCGUGCCAGGAGCAUCUGUGUGCAGUUUCCUUCCUCUUAUUAUCGUAGCUCAUCUAUGUGGAGUUCGAUUGUGGUGUGCCCUUAGUAUGUGUUCUUUUUCUGUGGUUGUGUCCUCUAUGUAUGAUUUCGCAAUGAUUAUGUCGAUGUCUAUCUUCUUUCCUAUGGUACAAUAACUUCCAACUAUUUGGACUUAAUGCAUUUGUUAAAUGCUAAGAUGUAUGCUUCGGUUGUGCCGCUUA